AUUGAACGCUGGCGGCAUGCCUUACACAUGCAAGUCGAACGGCAGCAUAGGAGCUUGCUCCUGAUGGCGAGUGGCGAACGGGUGAGUAAUAUAUCGGAACGUGCCCUAGAGUGGGGGAUAACUAGUCGAAAGACUAGCUAAUACCGCAUACGAUCUACGGAUGAAAGUGGGGGAUCGCAAGACCUCAUGCUCCUGGAGCGGCCGAUAUCUGAUUAGCUAGUUGGUGGGGUAAAAGCCUACCAAGGCGACGAUCAGUAGCUGGUCUGAGAGGACGAACAGCCACACUGGGACUGAGACACGGCCCAGACUCCUACGGGAGGCAGCAGUGGGGGAUUUUGGACAAUGGGGGCAACCCUGAUCCAGCAAUGCCGCGUGAGUGAAGAAGGCCUUCGGGUUGUAAAGCUCUUUUGUCAGGGAAGAAACGGUAGUAGCUAAUAUCUAUUACUAAUGACGGUACCUGAAGAAUAAGCACCGGCUAACUACGUGCCAGCCGCCGCCGUAA
rnacentral:rRNA from 1 species